rnacentral:rRNA from 1 species
AUUGAACGCUGGCGGCAGGCCUAACACAUGCAAGUCGAGCGGAGCGGCGGACGGGUGAGUAAUGCCUAGGAAUCUGCAUGGUAGUGGGGGAUAACGUCCGGAAAAGGGCGCUAAUACCGCAUACUAUCAGACGAGCGUAGGUCGGAUUAGUUAGUUGGUGGGGUAAAGGCCUACCAAGGCGACGAUCCGUAACUGGUCUGAGAGGAUGAUAAGGCACACUGGAACUGAGACACGGUCCAGACUCCUACGGGAGGCAGCAGUGGUGAAUAUUGGACAAUGGGCGAAAGCCUGAUCCAGCCAUGCCGCGUGUGUGAAGAAGGUCUUCGGAGUGUAAAGCACUUUAAGUUGGGAGGCGUUACCAACAGAAUAAGCACCGGCUAACUUCGUGCCAGCAGCCGCGGUAAUAC